AUGGCAAGUGGAGAUUAACUAUUGACUUUAGAAAACUCAAUAAUAACACUCUUCCUCUCACUGCAGCAGUUCCAAGUUUAUCUUCCACAGUGACAGCCAUUCAAGCAGCUUCUCACGCCUGGAUGGCAACUAUGGAUGUGAAGGACAUGUACUUCAUGGUGCCACUGAGAGAAGAGGACAAACCACAGUUUGCAUUCACCUGGCAAGCAACCAGCUCAAGACUGCACCGUUCCGGACAAGGGCCCGAUCCUUACGAGCCCCGGGAGUCAGCAUGCAGCUCGACCGGACCCGUGGAGCCUCGGACAACGUGCCUUAAAAUCCAUAAAGACUUUGAAACUUCUCUGAACUGCAUUUGGGACAGUGAGUAAUUGAUAAACUUCUAUUUGAAACUGAAUAACUUCUCAAGACUUCAAUGAACUCUCUCAUAUCAUAAACUCUCUUCAUUUUAGUCAUUCUGUAUAUUAAAUCUCAACUACGAACCAAGAAUCUACGCGGGAUAAUUACAAAUAAGUUUGGGGAAGGGGAUUUCUAGUGUAUAAUAUUAAAUUACUUAUACCUUUUUAUAAAA